GACUGACUUGAGCAAAUAGCAAUCGCGUCCCGAAGUUAAUCAGACCCGCUUAACCAGGGUCAGAUUUCCCAAUCCCCAUCCAAGACUCGUAUUCCCUCCAUCCCUUCCUCCCUAUAUACCGCAUUCCUUUCUCAUUCCCUCUCUUUCAAAACCCCUCUCCCCCCUUUCCUCAAAUUCCCCUCUAAAUUAGGGGUUUUCUCUCCGAACAUCUGAAACUAGGGUUUGUCUUUUCCCCCUUUCUUUUAAACCGAUCGUUCAUAGGGUUUCUAAUUCGCAGCAAGCAAGCAAGCGUAUCAUUUCCCUUGAAUCCUGGUAGAGAUUGCUUCGGAGAGAGGUGGAGGGUUCAUUGACUUCUAGAUUCGAUGGAGGCUGCGGCCGGAGGAGCCGCUGCCGGGCGCGGCGGACCCCUGCCUAUACCCUCUUCUCAGCCUUCGAGGAAGGAAUGGCGUGCUGUUUCCGAACAUUCCGUCCGGAACGCUGGGAAUGAGGAAAUGGACCGGAUGAAGCUGGGGCAGUCUGAAGAAAGGACAAUAUACGAGGUGCAGCAUGGAACGGGCCCGGUCGAUGUUGAUUUCUGUUCUGUCACGAUUGAUAGUAGCCUGAACAGUGACGUGUUGCAGCAGCGCCUUCAUGGUGUCUCUAGACAGAGGGAGGAACUGCAGCAGAUGGAGAUUGAGCUUAGAGCUCAGGUCAUCGCCAGAUCGGAGAUUUUGGAAAUGCAGAAGGGCUUUGAUGCACAGAUCAAAGAGCAUGCCAACACAGCUGCUAAACUAAAGGAGCAAUUGCAAGAAAGAGAACAAUGCAUACAUGAAUUGGAGAUAAAGAUGGAAGAGAAGGAUAGAGAGCUACGUGCUAUUAAAAUUGACAAUGAAGCGGCUUGGGCUAAAGAGGACCUUCUCAGGGAACAAAAUCAAGAGUUGGCCACCUACCGAAGGGAGCAUGAUAACUUCGAAGCUGAAAGAUCCCAACAUCUUAAACAAAUACAUGACCUCAAAGAACAUAUUCAGGAAAAAGAGAGCCAGAUUCUUGAAUUGGAGGAGCAGCAUAGAGUUGCUCAGGAAUCUAUACUUUACAAGGAUGAGCAAUUAAGGGAGGCGCAAGCAUGGGUUGCACGAGUUCAAGAAAUGGAUGCCAUUCAGUCUACAACAAACCACUCGUUACAGGCUGAGUUACGAGAACGCACUGAACAAUUUAACCAAUUCUGGAUUGGUUGUCAAAGACAGUUUGCAGAAAUGGAGAGACAUCAUAUGCAAACCAUUCAACAACUGCAAAUGGAGUUGGCCGAGGCCAGAGACCGAAAUGGGAUUUACACUGAUGAUUCACGAACAGCCCAUGCAAAUUCCCAUGCAAAUUCAAAGGAAUCAUCUCCAUAUGUUCAAAACAAGGGGAACCAGUUCAGCGUAAAUGAGGGUGGCCCAUUAAGUGGUAAUUCUGGUAUCCUGCCGAACGGGAACAUAGACAGGGCAGUGCCAUUUGUUUCAGCUGACAACGCAUCAACGAAGACCGAUCAUGUCCCCGGAGUGCCUAUUGUACCACCUUCCAUCCUUGGGAUGGGUCCAUUCCUUCCACCUGCACAGGUUCCUGCCCUUCAUCCGUUUGUUAUGCACCAACAAAGUGUUCCACCCCCACAAGUCAAUCCGCAUAUUGCUCAAUCUCAUAUGACCCAGUUUCAAACAAUCCCUGCAAUUUCAUCCCAACAACAUUGGCAGAGCCAACAGGCAGUAUCAGAGAGUUCUCAAAUACCAAAUCAGACCCCAUAUCACCCUUCUGAAGACGAGCAGAGUCUUUUGAGGCCAGAUGCACACUAUGACUAUGAGCUUUCUGCAGAAGGACAAGUGGUCCAUUCAGAUUAUCUAGAGGCCCAUAUUAGCCCCCAGCAGAGGCCGGGCCCAGCAGUCCCUCCAUCCAGCGAGGAACCACAGGUACUUGAAUCUAAUGAUAAGCGGUACUUGGUAUCCCAAGAGCCACAGCAGAACUUAGGAGAAAGUUCCCCGCAGUUUCAUGAUUCCUUAAGAUUGGACCCACCUGAACAGAAGAGUGAGCCUAAGGUCAACUUGGAAAUUCCGGUGGAUAAGCCUGCGGGAAAUGAUUCUGCUAAUCUUUCAUUUCAGCAGAGAGAUGAUGAGAGCACAAUGGGUAUGGUUAACCAACUGCAGGACCAGGGUUUGACAAUGGAGCAACCAUGGUCAGCUGCUGGUAUGCCAUUAUCUGCUCCUCCUCCAACUCAACAAGUAAGCUCCAGUGAUGCUACGGAUCGCAUUGCCAGUGGUGCUGUUGUGCCAGAAGUGCCUCCCUCUUCUGGAAGAACAUCAAGUUCAUUGACACCUGGAAAAAUUCCACAGCCUACUCUUCUUGAUGAAAGAUCAUUGUUGGCUUGCAUCGUUCGUGCAAUUCCAGCUGGGUCCAGUGGUGGAAUCAGAAUUACUACGACUCUACCUAAUAGACUUGGGAAAAUGCUUGCUCCUCUUCAUUGGCAUGAUUACAAGAAGCAAUAUGGAAAGCUUGAUGAUUUUGUGGCUCGUCACCCUGAACUAUUUGUAAUUGAAGGGGACUUUAUUCAUCUUCGUGAAGGAGCGCAAAAACGUAUAUCUGCAACCACAGCGGUCGCCAAAGUUGCUGCUGCAGCUGCAGUUUCUGCUCCUUAUUCGUCAUUGUUGCCCACUGUUGCUGUUACUCCGGUAGCACAAAAUCACCGCCUGAAAAAGGUUCCAAGCAUCGAUCCCAAGUCUGAGAAGACUAUUUUAUGUGCUGAAACUGCGACUUCAGGCAAUCCUUCAGAUGCACGUGACAAAGCUCUACAGCUUUCUGCAAUGCAGGGUCCACAUUCAAAUGGUGUCUGUUAUGACAUUGUUCAUGGUCUCUCACAUGUAAAACUUCUAAGAAAGUCAAAAGAUACUCGGGAACUAAAUGGUUUUUCAUCUGAAACGAGACCAGGACACACAUCUGUACAUAUGAUGGUUGGUAAUGGAGGAAAUCUUGAUAGAGCAGGCUCGGCCAGUUUUCAGAACGAUGGAUCAAGUAAUGGUAGAACUGGUGCAAAUUUUGUAGGAAAACAGCAAGGAAGGUAGUCCAUCUUUGUCCUUAACACUGGACACAGGGGCUGGAUUAACCUCCAGAAGAUAAAAUUGCAUUGGAGACGAAGCCUGUUUUUGAUUGGCAAUGAAUUGGUUGUCGCUUUGGGAGAAUACAAGGUGCUGUUAGGUGUUCAAAGGUUGGCAUCUCCCAUGACGCCGUCAUUGAAUUUUUUUAAUUUUAUUUUGAUUGAAUCUUAAGCUUGUGCUUCCCAUUUUGUUUGGAAGAGACUAGUCUUUGUUUGCUUUUCUGUGAACUCAAUACUGCAGUUUGGACGGCUGGAAGAAAAGGGUGAAAACCAUGCAAUAUUUGCAUUCAUUCAUGUGUGUAGCCUCCUCCGUUGAUGGGUCAGAAGACCCAAGGCCCACUCGUAACCUUAAAUCUUCAUCUGGAAUUGACGGAAUUCCAGUAACUGCAAGAUUAAGUCAAAUAUUCAGGCUAGGCUUCUAU